rnacentral:antisense_RNA from 1 species
GGAUAAUGCAAGUGUUUAACAGAUGCUUCACUAUUAAAAUAUUUCCCCCCCAAGUCUCAAAUAUUGAAGAAUCUCUAACCAGAAGGCACAGAUCAUUCAUGGGGAAGUAUAACCGAAACCAGUCCUCUCCACCCCCUGGGGAUCUUCACUUUCCCAGUCUACAACUGCCUGUGACUCCAGAAAGACAAACUGCAGAUUGGCCAAGAUGGAUUAAGCUGGAAUAAUAAAGUAUAUCUAUGAGAUGAUUUCUGUAAACUCUGACUUGCUGAGAAAAAAGUGAAAAAGCUUUUUCUGGAAGAAACAUGGCAACUUAACCAUUAUUAAUCUGGACUAAACAAAACAGGAAACUGCUUCUUUA